AGAGUUUGAUCCUGGCUCAGGAUAAACGCUGGCGGCGCACAUAAGACAUGCAAGUUGAACGGACUUAAUCGAAAUAUUUAUAUUUUGAAGCGGUUAGUGGCGGACUGGUGAGUAACGCGUAAGGAACCUGCCUAUUAGAGGGGAAUAACAGUGAGAAAUCAUUGCUAAUACCGCAUAUGCCAUAGAUAUCACAUGAUAACAGUGGGAAAGGAGCAAUCCGCUAAUAGAUGGCCUUGCGUCUGAUUAGAUAGUUGGUGGGGUAACGGCCUACCAAGUCGACGAUCAGUAGCCGGACUGAGAGGAAGAACGGCCACAUUGGGAC
rnacentral:rRNA from 1 species